ACACAGACCUGCAAGACAAUCAUUCAUAGAGUUAGGUAACGACCUACAUUGCCAUGACAAGUUUGACUCCUUCCAACAAUUUUAGGGCUGCCUGAACUCGGAAAAUAGAAAGGCAGUUUAUGCAAAAUUCAGAUAAUGCUGGUUUUCUUUCAGUCUGCUGAGGUGUCAUCACAGAAACAAUUCUCUUGGAUAUCCUUUUCCGAGCAGUUUGAACGGAAAAUGAAGCUUGUGAAGAGAAGGCAGAUAGACCCACAUCUUUCUAUACAAAACAGCAAAAGGGUCAGCACAGAUCUCCUCAAAACUGAAGAAAACUUGAAUUUUGCAAUAAAUAUGAGAAAAUCCGCAAAAGAGUCAGCACAAAUUUCUUCAAAACGGAAAAAAGAUCUUGACUUUUGCAGCAAAUUUGAGAAAAUCAGCAAAAGGGUCAGUGCAAAUCCACUCAUAACGGAAGAAAUCUUAAUAUUUGCAGCAAAUAUGAGAAAAUCAGCAAAAGGGUUAGCAUUAAUCUCCUCAAUAAUGGGAAAAGUCUUGAUUUUUGCAGCAAAUAAGAGCAUAUCAGCAAAAGGGUCAGCGUAAAUUCACUCAUAAUGAGAAGAAAAAAAAACUUAAUUUUGCAUCAAAGGGGCAUCUUAAUUCAAUCAUAUAAAACACAC
rnacentral:lncRNA from 1 species